UUCUGGAAUUAGGUCUCAGACUGCAACUUCGUCCUCGGCCCCAACCUUGACCCUUGUUCCUGAAUGCAGCCCCCAAAUCCCCACUCCAAAACUCAUGUGCCGCCUUAGCCUCAGAUUCCAACACCAGCUGACCCCUGGACCCAGCCCCAGUGCCUCCAUCCCUUGGUGCUUCCCCUGGGCCAGAGCCCACAAGCCCCUCGCCCAUUUUCCUUUGAACCUCAAGUGUCUGCCCAGGGGAGUCUGGCCCACCUGGGGAGGUGGGAUUUGAGUGUACAGGGAGGAGGAGGGGGGGAAGGCUUUUCAGAGGAGAAAUAGGAGCUCCCUUGCUUAAAACACGUGCAGAAUGAACCCUUUGGGACAAACUCCACACUCCGUGGCAGGGCUUACAAAACCCCUGCCACCCACAGCAGGCCAGUCAUUUGCCCCUGGCCCCUGCCCUCUCGCUGGAAUGUGCAUCGUUCAGUUAUGCAGGCUCUGCCCUGCUCUGCCCUUCCGGUUGGUUUUUGAACUCACAGUUCCCUCUCCCUGGGAUAUUUACCAUCCCCCAGCCUCAGUCUGGUUAACUCAGCUUCUUCAACAGAGAUGUCACCUCCUCCAGGAAGCCCUCCUUGAGCUCCAGACUGGUUUAGGUACCUCUUUGGGGCAUCCAUGCCCCCUACCCCACCCCGUGCUUCCCUCACCACCACUCUCACCGCAUGCGCUCUCAUGGUCCUUCUUUUCUUACCUGCCGUUACCCCCCAGACACAGGGUUCCCGGUCUUCUCUGCUCAGUCUGGCCACAGGCCGCUGGUGGCUGCCUCACUGGACGGUGCAGCUCUAGGUGACUUCUCCCUCAAGGGGAUUGUGCAGUUGCUGGAGGUACAGUGUGGAGCAAAAGAGUCCGGUCUCCGCCACCCUGAAGGGCAGCUGGAGGAUAAAGGGCUUACAGGACAGGUGCCACAGUAGGUCUUCAAUGGCUCCAGGCCCCUCGCCCCCACCCCAUGUUCCACGAAUGACAGGCGUCUGAGAGUGACAUCUUCUGGAGUAUCUGCCCCACCCUCAAUGACCAACUUCACUCUAGGGCUGAACCCCAGGAACCAGGAUUCUAUUCUGUGACCCCCUUCUGUGGGGACAGUUGAUGGGAUAGAGGUGGGCCCCAGACUCAAGCUAAGCCCUUCUGGCAGUUUAAAGUCAGACUAGCAAUCGCAUGUCAGCCUGGGGGCUUCUACUCAUGGGAUGCCAAGUGUCCCCUCGGCCAGCCGGACUCUCCAGCCGGACAGAGAGGCAAGAACAAAAGAGGGAGGGGAAGCCCAGCUAUGUCCCAGGCCUUGGUUCAAGUCCUUCUUAAGGCCUGGUGGUAUCUUUGCCCUAAGAUUCCGUGAGGGCACCUCCCCUCCCCGGACCUAAAGCCGGAUAAUAAACUUCUCCUUUUUAGCUUAAAA